AGGGGCAAAGGUGCUGGUGCGCCCGGCGGUCUUCAAAACCGUGCGCUCGGCCUGCAAAGCCGGGAGGAGGUUCGAUUCCCCUUGCCCCUUCCA
rnacentral:tRNA from 1 species